UACAGAGGGUGCGAGCGUUAAUCGGAAUUACUGGGCGUAAAGCGUGCGUAGACGGUUAUUUAAGUCGGGUGUGAAAGCCCCGGGCUCAACCCGGGAAUUGCAUUCGAGACUGAAUAGCUAGGGUACGGUAGAGGGAAGCGGAAUUUCCGGUGUAGCGGUGAAAUGCGUAGAUAUCGGAAGGAACAUCAGUGGCGAAAGCGGCUUCCUGGACCAGUACCGACGUUCAGGCACGAAAGCGUGGGGAGCAAACAGG
rnacentral:rRNA from 1 species